rnacentral:rRNA from 1 species
UACGGAGGGGGCGAGCGUUAUCCGGAUUCACUGGGUUUAAAGGGUGCGUAGGUGGGAAUGUAAGUCAGUGGUGAAAUCUCUGAGCUUAACUCAGAAACUGCCAUUGAUACUAUGUUUCUUGAAUUUUCUGGAGGUCAGCGGAAUAUGUCAUGUAGCGGUGAAAUGCUUAGAUAUGACAUAGAACACCAAUUGCGAAGGCAGCUGGCUACAGGGAUAUUGACACUGAGGCACGAAAGCGUGGGGAUCAAACAGG